UAAGGAAUAUUGGUCAAUGGACGCAAGUCUGAACCAGCCAUGCCGCGUGGAGGAUGAAGGUCCUCUGGAUUGUAAACUUCUUUUAUAUGGGACGAAAAAGGGUCUUUCUAGAUCAACUGACGGUACCAUAUGAAUAAGCACCGGCUAACUCCGUGCCAGCAGCCGCGGUAAUACGGAGGGUGCAAGCGUUAUCCGGAUUCACUGGGUUUAAAGGGUGCGUAGGCGGGUUAGUAAGUCAGUGGUGAAAUCCCCGAGCUUAACUUGGGAACUGCCAUUGAUACUAUUAGUCUUGAAUACCGUGGAGGUCGACGGAAUAUGUCAUGUAGCGGUGAAAUGCUUAGAUAUGACAUAGAACACCAAUUGCGAAGGCAGUUGACUACGCGAGUAUUGACGCUGAUGCACGAAAGCGUGGGGAUCAAACAGGAUUAGAUACCCCCGUAGUCC
rnacentral:rRNA from 1 species